GCGUAACACGUAUCCAACCUGCCGUCUACUCUUGGACAGCCUUCUGAAAGGAAGAUUAAUACAAGAUGGCAUCAUGAGUCCGCAUGUUCACAUGAUUAAAGGUAUUCCGGUAGACGAUGGGGAUGCGUUCCAUUAGAUAGUAGGCGGGGUAACGGCCCACCUAGUCUUCGAUGGAUAGGGGUUCUGAGAGGAAGGUCCCCCACAUUGGAACUGAGACACGGUCCAA
rnacentral:rRNA from 1 species